GAACUGUUGUGAUAUCUUUUCUUUAUUCGUCCGCUUAGUAAACAUCAUCAUCAAUCAAACAUGAGGUGUGGGUUUGCUGUGAUUGCAUGAAACAUCAGCAAGUUGAUCAACCAUUUCCGUAGAAUCAAACUUUGAGUUCUGGAUUUUGCUUAUUAUCCUUUCAUGUGCUUGUACUUCCCUUGAGAAAAAAAAUGAUGCAGUAUCAGAGAUUAAUCAUCCACCAUGGAAGUAAAGAAGAGAGGUUUAGAGUUUCAGUAGAGUAAGAUGGUGGUGGAUUGAAGAUUGCUAAAUAAAUAUUUCUCGCCUUUCUCCUAAUGUCUAUCCUCUCUUGCUCUUUCAUCCUGUAUUUUUAUCUCUUCGGCUUAUCCAUUCUCUCUCUCUCUCUCUCUCUCUCUCUCUCUCUUGUAGGUUCAUUUAGCAGAGAAAGGGAAGGUCUUAGGUCUUAUGAGCCACUCAUUGCCCCUCUCUGCUCAGAAAUCUCCAAUGGAACCAAUUGUUGUGACAGAAACGGAUUGAGAUCAUACCAUUCUGUUCAUCUCCACCAAAAAAAAAACGAACCUCGAAAAGAUCAUACCUUACACCAGAAAAUGUGAGACUAGCGUGAUGGAACUGUUCAAGAACUCAAACUUCUCACAAUAUGAUUCAUAAACUCAUAUAAUCGGGUUGGAUCUCACUAGAUUCAACGGAUUCUGUAAUGAAUGGUUUGUGUAACUGGUUAUAGGUGAUACAGUCGUACGGCUAUCAGUCCGUAUACUCAUGUUUCUCAAUUGCUUUGAAGAAAAGCAGAGGGAGAGAGGCAAUGUGAACAAGAGGACGGUAAACCAUAGCAGUAAACUUGUUCAUUGUUGAAGAAAGGAAGCUGCUUCUUUUCCUGUUCAAUAAUAUGUUGAAGAGUGGUUAUUUCCUUUUCCUCAGCAAAUGCAUUAAGAAUCAUCCUAGUAGAUGUAUGGUCCCGUGGGGUCAUCUUCUAUGCUCUGAGUCAUAAGGAGAUCACCUUCCUGUUAGGACCAAUAAUCACUUGAAGAUGAGGCCGACGGUUACCAUCAGUCCAUAGUUUAUUAUAAGUUAGGCUAAGAUGAGUGAUGAAACUGUUGCAGACGUAAUCUAGAGUGAGUAAUGGAAUCUAAAUAGUAAGUGGUUACUGUUUUUUGUCCCAUUGAACAGAGCAAGCAAGUUGCAUCAUGGGCUAUACUCCAAUUUAGAGGGAAGAGUAACACACACAUGCAUAACGUGUUAGUGGGGAAAGUUUCAGAUUCCAGAAUAUUGAGUUCCAAACAACUGUCGGAACUGUGAGAUGAAUAAAAUUUCAUAUUUUCUGCUACCGAGAGAGGUAUAUAUGUCUUCCACUACAGCUGAAAAACAUGUAUCUACCUUUGUACUUCUUAAUGUCAUGUGCUCAGCUUGGUUAAAACAACU